UGCAAUUUACAAGAACUGUUUAUAGAUAUUUGAAUAAAUUUUAAAGUCAUUUAUUAAUGUGAUGGCAAAGCUAAAUUUUUAGCAGCUAUUAGUCUAUAUAUAUAUAUAUAGAGAGAGAGAGAGAGAGAGAGAGAGAGAGAGAUUAUUUUACUAUUAUCACUGUAUUUUUUAUUUAUAACACAUUUUAAAUAUAUUUAUGUCUUUCUUGCAGCAGCAGUUGUUGUUGGCAAAGUGCCACUAACCUGUCUGCCCAGACAUCGUCCAAUCCAGAAGAACAACACAGGAGCAGGAUCACGGAUACAGGAUCACUCCCUCUCACCCUCUGCCUGUCUCUCUAUUUCCCUUCGUCUGUCUUUCACUCCGACACAUAACACAACACAAGUGUGUAUGCUUACGAGUGUGUGUGUUCAGCUGCAUGUUUAACCACAUAAUAGUAUUAAAGCCUUCUGUAAAGACAUGUCAAAAAAAUUUCUAUUUAUACAAUCUUAGAAAGUAUGUGUGUGUUUUUUCUGUUUGAGUAUUCCUCAUGCGAUCACUGAAAAAACAUGUCAUUAAAACUGUGAAUAUGAUCUGUGAGUGUAGUUUAGGUGAUAUAAGCCACUUUGAGAAUGCAGACGGACACUUUGUGCAGAUGUCCUGAGGUGAAGUUACAGAAAGGUGACAUCAGUUGUAUCUAGUGUUGUGAGAUGCGAUCUUUAAUUUAUCAAAUUUAGUUGUAGGCUAUGUGCCUGUGUAUGACCGUAGGCGCUGCAUGUAUCAGCAACAAAAUACCUGUCUAUCACAAAGUCACUGAUCGCAUCAAUAAUUUUGUCUCUUUAGCCCUCAGCAUGUCCGAGAGCAUGGCUGGAAAUGUUUGUGUGUGUCUACAUGCAGCGAUGCUGUCAAGUUUUAUGAGGUACUGCAGCAGAAAAAAUAUCUUUUCGUACACACACAAAUCUGUUCUAAAAAUCUAUUGUUUUGUUAGAUUCCUUCUAAGAGAUGAUGACAAUCACCACAGAAUGCCCAAAAGUUCAAUUUGGAACAGAAAAUAUAGAUGGAUACAAAAGGAGCUAUCUCACAAAAUGUCUAAGGUGCUGUUUUCCAGACAAAGUGGAGGUGUGGUCACCAUUCAUAUAUUGGUUGCCUGGUUUAAGUGGGAUUUUUGAAUUGAUUCUUUUUAAUGAAUCACAUCCCCCUAUUUAAGUUUUUUUGGAUCCAAUAAUUCAUUUUGAAUUUUAUCUUAAUAUUGUUACUCAAAUGCACAGUCUAAGCCUAAUGUUGCACUGGAUCCACUUUUCUAGAGGCAACUGUCCAUGGAAAACCUUUAAGGGAAAAAUAAGUUGAUUUUAAAUUUCAUGGCAUCAACACAUCUCAAAACAGUUGGGACAAGGACAUGUUUACCACUGUGUGGGAUCCCCUCUUCUUUUUAUAACAGUCUGCAAACGUCUGGGGACUGAGGAGACAAGUUGCUUAAGUUUAGAAAUAGGAAUGUUGUCCCAUUCUUGUCUAAUACAGGCUUCUAGUUGCUCAACUGUCUUAGGUCUUCUUUGUCGCAUCUUCCUCUUUAUGAUGCGCCAAAUGUUUUCUAUGGGUGAAAGAUCUGGACUGCAGGCUGGCCAUUUCAGUACCCAUAUCCUUCUUGUACGCAGCCAUGAUGUUGUAAUUGAUGCAGUAUGUGGUCUGGCAUUGUCUUGUUGGAAAAUGCAAGGUCUUCCCUGAAAGAGACAACAUCUGGAUGGGAGCAUAUGUUGUUCUAGAACUUGGAUAUACCUUUCAGCAUUAAUGGUGCCUUUCCAGAUGUGUAAGCUGCCCAUGCCACACGCACUCAUGCAACCCCAUACCAUCAGAGAUGCAGGCUUCUGAACUGAGCACUGAUAACAACUUGGGUUGUCCUUGUCCUCUUUAGUCCGGAUGACAUGGCGUCCCAGUUUUCCAAAAAGAACUUCAAAUUUUGAUUCAUCUGACCACAGAAUAGUUUUCCACUUUGCCACAAUCCAUUUUAAAUGAGCCUUGGCCCAGAGAAAACGCCUGCACUUCUGGAUCAUGUUUAGAUAUGGCUUCUUUUUUGACCUAUAGAGUUUUAGCCGGCCACGGUGAAUGGCACGGUGGAUUGUGUUCACCGACAAUGUUUUCUGGAAGUAUUCAUGAGCCCAUGAUGUGAUUUCCAUUACAGUAGCAUUCCUGUAUGUGAUGCAGUGCCGUCUAAAGCCUGGCUCACACUACAGGAUUUUUAGCCCGAUUUAGCCCCGAUUUCCCCUCCCGAGAAUCGGAGCAAACAUCUUGACCUCGAUCUGUCCCGAUGUUUGGUGCGUAUUGUCUGGUAAUGUGAGGCAUUCACUGAUCGAAUCUUGAACCUCCCGAUCUGCUCGCACACAAAUCGGGGCAGCCCCGAUUAAUAUCAAACAUGUUUGAUAUUUAGGAUUUAAAUCGGGAUGAUGAUGGCUAUAUGAUUACGUCAGUACUUUCACAGCCAAUGUGCAAAACCGCUAAACAGCUGAUGUACGGCUCCGUUGGAUAGUGGAGACAGAAGAAACUGUUUCUUGACAUUUUAGUAACACGACAGUCUGUAUAAUUUGUUGAAACGCAUCACAACUGUAAGGAGAAACAGAAGCGAUGGAGUGAACUCGCCUCAGUUUUGAAUGCACCGGGUGAGUGCAGAAAGCCGCUAGCAGGCUAGCUAACAUAUGUAAACAAAUAUCAGUGACGAACUGCUGCGUGAGAUCAUGUGAGGCACUCCCUCUGGCAUGAUAAUCUUAAUGAUAUCUUGUAGUGUGUGAUGCGCCACGAUGUUCAAAUCUUGUAGUGUGUGCAUGUUUAAGAUUUGAGGGAAGAUAAUCUGUGAAGAUUCUCCUAAUGUGUGUGCUGCAUCCAGAUUUCAUAAUCAGUUAGGAUUUUAAAAAUCCUGUAGUGUGAGCUUGGCUUAAGGGCCCAAAGAUAACGGGCAUCCAGUAUGGUUUUCUGGCCUUGACCCUUACGCACAGAGAUUGUUUCAGAUUCUCUGCAUCUUUGGAUGAUAUUAUGUACUGUAGAUGAUGAUAACUUCAAACUCUUUGCAAUUUUUCUCUGAGAAACUCCUUUCUGAUAUUGCUCCACUAUUUUUCGCCUCAGCAUUGCCACUCUGAGAGGCUCUUUUUAUACCCAAUCAUGUUGCCAAUUGACCUAAUUGCAAAUUGGUCCUCCAGCUGUUCCUUAUAUGCACAUUUAACUUUUCCGGCCUCUUAUUGCUACCUGUCCCAACUUUGGAAUGUGUAGCUCUCAUGAAAUCCAAAAUGAGCCAAUAUUUGGCAUGACAUUACAAAAUGUCUCACUUUCAACAUUUGAUAUGUUAUCUAUAUUCUAUUGUGAAUAAAAUAUAAGUUUAUGAGAUUUGUAAAUUAUUCCAUUCCUUUUUUACUCAAUUUGUACAGUGUCCCAACUUUUUUGGAAUCGGGUUUGUAUUAACGCAAUGGUACGAAUCAUUGAAAUGGUCUGAAACUUGGUGGCACUUGACUUUUUGUGGCACUUAACUUUUGUGGCACACACAUAAAUAUUGUGGAUAUGAUUAGAAAAGGUUAAAAGGAUAGUUAAAGGAAUGCCACUGUCUAGUGAAUAUGUAUACGACAAUGGACAUAUGGAUAUUUUUCUUACACAAAUGCAACAAUUUACUUCAGAAAGCCUUUAUAUACCCCCUGGAGCCACAUGUGGAGCACUUUUUAUGAUGGAGAGACGCAGUUUUUUGGACUUCUAUUGGACUACUAAAUAUCAACACCCAUUCAUUGCCAG
ensembl:lncRNA